rnacentral:rRNA from 1 species
AGGAACAUGUCCUUCGGCGGGGAAUAGCCGGCCUAACGGCCGGGUAAUUCCGCGUACGACGGUUGGGACGCAUGUCUUGACCGUGAAAGCAGCAAUGCGCCGAUGGAGUGCCUCGCGGCCUAUCAGCUAGUUGGUGAGGUAAUGGCUCACCAAGGCUACGACGGGUAGCUGGUCUGAGAGGAUGAUCAGCCACAUUGGGACUGAGACACGGCCCAG